GAGAGUGAGAUUGGAGAGGAGGACACAGGCACUCCAAACCCUGUCUGUGCUUGGUAUAUUAGGCAGCCAGUGCUCUUGGCUGUGAGCCCAGACGAGGCUUUUGUAAUCAAAACAUGAUCUUGUAUGCUGUGCAACCAGUGCUGAGAAAGGCCGUCUGAUGGCUCUCCUCUUUUAGCUCUGCUCUGGAAUCCGCCGGGCUGCGCCGAUGUCCAACAUGCACCGAGCUGAUGCUGCUGUGGAUGAUGUUGUGUUAAGGAAGAAAGAGCAGAAAGAUGUUGAACUCGAUAAGAAAAUCUUGGCCUUGCGGAAGAAGAAUGAAGCGCUGAUCCGAAGGUACCAGGAAAUAGAAGAGGACAAAAAGCGAGCAGAGCAGGAGGGAAUGGCUGUUACCUCCAGGAGGCCCAAGCAGGAUGGACUCACUAUUACCAUCACCAAAGCUCACAACGACCUGAAAGAUGCAAUUACCCAGACUGAACACUAUGGACAAGAUAGCCCAGCCCUCCCGAUGGACAAAAGGGUGGUGAGUGAGAAAUGGGCAAGCCCCUGUUCUGCGAGCCCUGGAUUCGGCAUUGGCAGUGAGGAGGAGGAGGAGGAGGAGGAAGCAGAUCAUAUGUUCACAUUCAGGAUGGGGAAGAGGAUGCAGCUGGCUGUUACCAUGGACAACAAAGCAAAGGGCAAGCGGAUUGUCAGCGAGAAACGUGCCGAGAGCUUCCCCGGCCAGGGCCGGGUGCCGGAGCUGGGCGAGGACGACACGGACCACUUGGUGGCUUUCCGGCGGGGCAGGAGGAUGCAGAUUGCCAUCACCAUGGAUAACAAGGAAAAGGCAGAGGAGCGGAGAACAGCAGAGAAGAGGAGAUCAGACAGUGACAGAGGCCCAGAAAGUGAGCACAGCCGGAAGGAUGGUGGGAAGUCAGUGCAGAAGAGCCCUGGAGACCUGAGUUUCCCCAUGACUGGCCGGGAACGCUCGGAGUACAUGCGCUGGAAGAGGGAGAGGGAGCAGAUUGACCUGGAGCGCCUGGCACGGCACAAGAACGCCAAGGGCGAGUGGCGGCGGGCGUGGGAUGUGGAGAAGUCGGAGCACAUGUUUGAAGAGGACUUUGUUAAGGAUGGGGAGCCAGCCUUGGAUAAUCCCAGCAAUAAGAAAGGGGGAAGAAAUGCAAGGAAAUUUCAGCACAGGUCCUUUCCUGCCGAUGGCAGAGGUGGAGGACACCACGGGGUGAAUGUGAGCGACCCUGGCCCAAAGGCAGUGCCCGCCGUGAGCAGCCGUGCCAAGGGGAAGGACAGACUGACGGGCAGAGCCAGAAGGUGGGAUGCAAAAGAAGGCGAGGACAUGUCUUUUCUGAAGGAUGACCUUGAUGGCCAGAGGAGCCUCGGUGUGGACAAGCGGAAGAGCAGAGGAGAGGAGGGGAUGGAGGAGAACUGCACAGCUGAGCAGGAGGAGAAGGGGAAGCAGCCAAGCCUCCAGGAUCACGGGGCCUCCUUGGCCCAGCGGCUCCGAAGGGAAGGCGGGAAGGUCCAUCCUGCCCACAACGGGCAGAAGGAGGAGCGGAGGGGGUUGAAGGGCUGCAGCACAGAGGUGUCUGUGACCAGCACAGGGGACUCAGAGCCAGGGCCCAAGUCAAGCAAGGAAAGUGUUGGGGAAGAUGCCAGUGGGAAGCCUGGCACUGCUGACACCUCCCAGAAGGAGAGCACUGGCAGCACCGCUUCUCCAAGCAGCCUUCCAAGCACUGUGCCAGCCACCAGUGAGGAGACUUUGUCCCUGCCCGUGGGAGCGAAUGUAGAUGGAGCUGGAUCAGAGAAAAACCCAGUUUCACAACAGGAGUCCUCCCAGAACUCCUCAAACUGCCACGGAGAACAGCUGGACACGGCAGCAGGAGACAGACUGGAUGCAGAUCAGGGACAGCUGGUGAGCAGAGGAGGGGAGGAAGUGACCCAAAGCACUGCCCUGGAGGGGCAGGCACUUGCACUGAAAAGAGGAGAAGAUGCUGAAGGCACUGAACACCAGGAGCCUUUGCCUCCAGGGAAAGCCAGCUCUGACAAGACUGUUGUGCCUGAGCAGGACCCAGCAAAGGCCCAGUCCGGGGAAGGGGACCAGCCUGAGGACUACAAGGACAAGGACACUGGGGAUGCCCUCAACUAGCACAGGUUGCACCGGCUUGCCUGAGACAGGAUAACAUGCUGGAGGCGGUGGAGGAGAAGAGAAGAGGAGCACAAGCUUGUCCUCGCUCUUUUACCUUCUAUGAAAUCAGCUUUCAGCACCUGCCCUGUGCCCAGCACCACCCCACUCACAGUUCUGGCAUCCCCCUUCCCUCUUCGUGUGCCAGAGGACAGGGAAGGGUGCCCACACUCACACCCUACAGCAAAACACCAUCACUUAUCUCUUUAUUUGUUUGGCCUAUAUUGCAGCUGUGUGGCAAGCCAAGGAAAUGUCUAUUGGAUGCACUUUAUUUUAUUUAAUGACUAAUUCUGUGUAGAGUUAAGGUUUGGGUUUCUGGGCAUGCCCCCUGUUUCCUGCCCUGGAGGUUGGAGGGACCUGCCCGUGUCAGGGCUGUGCCAAUGCCUGGAGCAGCAGGAAGGGGUGGCUUGUGAGGGUGUAGUUCAUAGGUGGGUGCAGAAAUAGCAUUCAGAGCUCUGGUACUAGAGGUUUGCACGUGGUUGAAGUGUUGGCAGAGGUGUGCAGUAGUGGCAGGGCUGUGGAUGGACAGAUGGAUGGAGCACAGCCGUGGGGCACAGAGCUCCAUGUGCCAAGCACAGAUCCCCCCAGCACCUCCUCCCUGAACAGCCUCCAGCUCUCCCCUGCCAGAGGCUGAGAGCACAUCAGGACACUGCUGUGUGCCAAGGAAGGGGGCUCGUGGGCUGAGCAGGGGUGUGCACAGCUCAGCAAACGCUGCCCAGGGGCACUGGGAACUGGGCACCCCUGCAGCAGGGCAGGGAGGGGGAGAGCACAACUCGACAACCUCCUCCACACUGCCCAAAGCAGAGCCAGCAGGACCCAGGCCUGACUGGACCUGGAGGUCCAAGACUUCCUAUCAGCUUUCACCUUCCCGGUUGUGCCUUCUGUAGCCUUGUGCUUGAAUUAAGAGGGCAGGAGUCCCCUGGAAGCUGCUCUGCAGACCUUCUGAGCUGGCCUUAAAGACACCUUUCAAGUGCAGGUGCUGGAGGAGCAUUUACAAGCACAAACGUGCAGCAAUUCCAGCUGUUUGGAUUUCCAGUCACAGCAAGCUGGGACCUAGCUGGAAUACAGCUACCAGUUAAGGAGAAAGCACAAGGGAUAACACAGCAGGAUUUCUGACACGGGAAUCACACAGCAGAGAGGGCAUUGCCUUGGAGGCGCUGACACCAGAGUAAAGUCCCUGAGCCCAGUGUGUGGAGACUGCCUGGAAUGCCCUGCAGGACCUGCUCUGGCCAGGCUGCCAAACUGCCCUGGAGACCAGGCUGUGUCACACGGAGAGUCACAAGCGCAGCAACGGGCUCAUCACAGGCUGGCAGCAGCAUCCUGACGGGAACAUGGCUGUCUCCAUGCCUGGCUAGGGAAAGGAUGGGGAACAGAUUGUAGCUGAAGAAUCUGGGCCUGAAGAAUCACCUGAGCUGCCUGGCCCUGUAGGCUGGCAUCCCAGGAUCCUCCUGCAUCUCCCCCAGGCCGCCUCCCCUCCCUGGCUCAGUACAACCGUAGUAAGGCCAUGGGAUGCUCCAAAGCCAGUUGUAACAGGUACAGAAAUAGCAGCAUUUCACUAAGAUCUGUUUGUCAGCAGAGGAGAAGAUGCAAAAACACAGUCUGGGAACUCAUCAAGCCUGCACUUUCCUCCAGGAAUGUAGACAGCCACAACCAUCCUCGUACUGGCUCAUCAACUAUUUUUAGCAGCAGCAAGGGAGGCAGCCAUCAGGAAAGGGCCUGUUCCCUUUGAUCCACGGAUCUGAGCACUGUCUCAGAGAUCCCCUGCCCCAAAACCCACAAACCAGGUAAAGAGUUGUAGGUUGUUCCUGCUCCCAAGUACGAGGUGUCUCUCGGCAGUUCCACGGCAGGUUGGAAGAGGGCCACGCAGCCCAUUUCAUUCCACUCACUUCCUCUCCCUCCCGCGCCACACAGACAGGCUCGAUGAGUCUUCUGAGAGCAAUUGGAGUUAAAGUGAAGGAUGCCAGGGGGCCCUGGAAACCAGCACAUGUUGGAUGUACCACUCAGAGCCACUACAGAGCGACCAAGCUGCAGGCCAGGAGCAGAGAAAUACCAGGAUCUGUGUCAUCCCACCCAGCUUUAUUUAUCUCUGAAGAUUUUAUGAGAUAAACGUAAGCUCCUUCUCAGAGACACUUCCCAACUGGUAAUGUGUUUAGCACCCGAGCCAAGGAACAGCCUAAACUGAACUGGCACGACAAUGAGCCUGGCUUGUUUCUCUGUCACUCAUUCCUCCCUCGGGGAGCUGCAGAAGCCUUCCCCUGCAACCAGAGGUGUAUCCCAAGGACAGCAAAUGACACCACUGUCACCAGGACCCAGAGCUACUGCAGGUGUGUGCAGUCCCAUGGACAGGGAUGAACACACUACCGGCAGAGUCAGCAGGGAACCAAAGCCACUCACACAACAGACACCGUGGGGUAUCCAGGAGCUGCUGCUGCCCUGGGACAGCUCAGCCUUCUGCUGCCACAGAUGUUCGGCCUCCAGCCCGUCCACCUGCCCCGCAGGAGGGUGGCACUGAUCCCAUUUUGGCUGAGGUGACUAAGCGGGAUCGUUUUGUCCUCCCCACCAGCUUUCUGUUCUAACAUCACACAGCCUUCCCUGCACGCUCCGCAGAGAACUGCCAAGGAGGCUCAAAAGAAGAUCCCAAAGCACUCUCUCCCUGCAAGCUCCUGCUUCUACCUUCCACAGACACUGUAAAGAUAAUGCCCAACUGGCACAGCCGUAACACAGCACCACAGCCUCCCCCAAACACCCUGAUUUCAGUAUGAAACAGCUCUUUUCAAACACCAAGUGCCAUGUUUUAUGGUACCUUCGUGAUCUGCACAACUGAAAUGCGUAUGCUGCGUUACAGCACAUCUUAUCCCUCAGCAGAGGGGAUCUGAACUGCUAGGAUUGUUUCACAGGGAUGCAGCACAGCCUGGCAGCCUCACUGAUUCAGCCAAAUCCAUCCACCUGGAAAGCAGCAGCCUGGAACAACACAGCUCUUAUGGUUUCCUAGUUGAUAUCCCACAUCAUUAAAGAGUCAUUAAAGGCCAUGUUUUUGCUCAAGGAAUAGAACAUUUCUGAAGACUACAGGGCAGGCAAACACUGGGAGGAGAGGCUGCCCAGGGCACAUCAGGAACUGCCCGGCCCAGACCUGCCCUGGCUCCGGGUGCCCCCAGGGCACAGGGAUGAUCCAUAAGCACUGCCACCCCUGGCAGGCAGGAGGGCCACAGCUCGGAGCCCACCACCACAGCUCCACCUGCUCUGCCAGCACAGAUCCAACCUUUCCAGCACCACCGCUUCCUUUCCACGAUCAGCAGGAUUUAGGCAGGUUUCUCCAGCCUCGCCUACAGAGAUCAACGACAAAUGAAUCAACAUCAUAUACCACAGUUCCCAUUGCA